AAACCAACAGGGAUUGCCUCAGUAACGGCGAGUGAAGCGGCAAUAGCUCAAAUUUGAAAGCUGGCGUCUUCGACGUCCGCGUUGUAAUUUGUAGAGGAUGUUUCGGCGAGGGCUCCUGCCUAAGUUCCCUGGAAUGGGACGUCACAGAGGGUGAGAAUCCCGUAUGUGGCGGGCGGCCUUAGCCAUGUGAAACUCCUUCGACGAGUCGAGUUGUUUGGGAAUGCAGCUCUAAAUGGGAGGUAAAUUUCUUCUAAAGCUAAAUACCGGCCAGAGACCGAUAGCGCACAAGUAGAGUGAUCGAAAGAUGAAAAGCACUUUGGAAAGAGAGUUAAAAAGUACGUGAAAUUGUUGAAAGGGAAGCGCUUGCAACCAGACUCGUUCGCAGUUGCUCAGCCCGCCUCUUGGUGGGUGUACUCUUCUGCGGUCGGGCCAGCAUCAGUUCGGGCGGUCGGAUAAAGGUGUCGGGAAUGUAGCACCCUUCGGGGUGUGUUAUAGCCCGGCGCGGAAUGCGGCCAGCCUGGACUGAGGAUCUCGCUUCGGCAAGGAUGCUGGCGUAAUGGUUGUAAGCGGCCCGUCUUGAAACACGGACCAAGGAGUCUAACAUCUAUGCGAGUGUUUGGGUGUCAAACCCAUGCGCGUAAUGAAAGUGAACGGAGGUGGGAACCCGCAAGGGUGCACCAUCGACCGAUCCUGAUGUCUUCGGAUGGAUUUGAGUAAGAGCAUAGCUGUUGGGACCCGAAAGAUGGUGAACUAUGCCUGAAUAGGGUGAAGCCAGAGGAAACUCUGGUGGAGGCUCGCAGCGGUUCUGACGUGCAAAUCGAUCGUCAAAUUUGGGUAUAGGGG
rnacentral:rRNA from 1 species